rnacentral:rRNA from 1 species
AUUGAACGCUGGCGGCAGGCCUAACACAUGCAAGUCGAACGGUAACAGGAAGCAGCUUGCUGCUUCGCUGACGAGUGGCGGACGGGUGAGUAAUGUCUGGGAAGCUGCCUGAUGGAGGGGGGUAACUACUGGAAACGGUAGCUAAUACCGCAUAAUGUCGCAAGACCAAAGAGGGGGACCUUCGGGCCUCUUGCCAUCGGAUGUGCCCAGAUGGGAUUAGCUUGUUGGUGGGGUAACGGCUCACCAAGGCGACGAUCCCUAGCUGGUCUGAGAGGAUGACCAGCCACACUGGAACUGAGACACGGUCCAGACUCCUACGGGAGGCAGCAGUGGGGAAUAUUGCACAAUGGGCGCAAGCCUGAUGCAGCCAUGCCGCGUGUAUGAAGAAGGCCUUCGGGUUGUAAAGUACUUCCAGCGGGGAGGAAGGGAGUAAAGUUAAUACCUUUGCUCAUUGACGUUACCCGCAGAAGAAGCACCGGCUAACUCCGUG